UACAGAGGGUGCGAGCGUUAAUCGGAAUUACUGGGCGUAAAGCGUGCGUAGACGGUUACAUAAGUCGGGUGUGAAAGCCCCGGGCUCAACCUGGGAAUUGCAUUCGAGACUGCGUAGCUAGGGUGCGGAAGAGGGAAGCGGAAUUUCCGGUGUAGCGGUGAAUGCGUAGAUAUCGGAAGGAACACCAGUGGCGAAAGCGGCUUCCUGGUCCAGCACCGACGUUCAGGCACGAAAGCGUGGGGAGCAAACAGG
rnacentral:rRNA from 1 species